CUCAGGAUGAACGCUGGCGGCGUGCUUAACACAUGCAAGUCGAGCGAGAAAAGUUCUUCGGAGCUUUUCUAGCGGCGGACGGGUGAGUAACACGUGGGCAACCUGCCUCAUAGAGGGGAAUAGCCUUCCGAAAGGAAGAUUAAUACCGCAUAAUAUUGUUGAAAGGCAUCUUUUAACAAUCAAAGGAGCAAUCCGCUAUGAGAUGGGCCCGCGGCGCAUUAGCUAGUUGGUGAGGUAACGGCUCACCAAGGCGACGAUGCGUAGCCGACCUGAGAGGGUGAUCGGCCACAUUGGAACUGAGACACGGUCCAGACUCCUACGGGAGGCAGCAGUGGGGAAUAUUGCACAAUGGGGGAAACCCUGAUGCAGCGACGCCGCGUGGAGGAAGAAGGUCUUCGGAUUGUAAACUCCUGUUGUUAGGGACGAUAAUGACGGUACCUAACAAGAAAGCACCGGCUAACUACGUGCCAGCAGCCGCGGUAAAACGUAGGGUGCAAGCGUUGUCCGGAAUUACUGGGUGUAAAGGGAGCGCAGGCGGACCGGCAAGUUGGAAGUGAAAACUAUGGGCUCAACCCAUAAAUUGCUUUCAAAACUGCUGGCCUUGAGUAGUGCAGAGGUAGGUGGAAUUCCCGGUGUAGCGGUGGAAUGCGUAGAUAUCGGGAGGAACACCAGUGGCGAAGGCGACCUACUGGGCACCAACUGACGCUGAGGCUCGAAAGCAUGGGUAGCAAACAGGAUUAGAUACCCUGGUAGUCCAUGCCGUAAACGAUGAUUACUAGGUGUUGGAGGAUUGACCCCUUCAGUGCCGCAGUUAACACAAUAAGUAAUCCACCUGGGGAGUACGACCGCAAGGUUGAAACUCAAAGGAAUUGACGGGGGCCCGCACAAGCAGUGGAGUAUGUGGUUUAAUUCGAAGCAACGCGAAGAACCUUACCUGGUCUUGACAUCCCGAUGACCGGCCUAGAGAUAGGCUUUUCUCUUCGGAGACAUCGGUGACAGGUGGUGCAUGGUUGUCGUCAGCUCGUGUCGUGAGAUGUUGGGUUAAGUCCCGCAACGAGCGCAACCCUUAUUGUUAGUUGAUACAUUUAGUUGAUCACUCUAGCGAGACUGCCGCUGACAAAACGGAGGAAGGUGGGGACGACGUCAAAUCAUCAUGCCCCUUAUGACCAGGGCUACACACGUACUACAAUGGCAGACAUACAGAGGGAAGCAAAGCUGUGAAGCAGAGCAAAUCCCUAAAAGCUGUCCCAGUUCAGAUUGCAGGCUGCAACUCGCCUGCAUGAAGUCGGAAUAGCUAGUAAUCGCGGAUCAGCAUGCCGCGGUGAAUACGUUCCCGGGCCUUGUACUCACCGCCCGUCA
rnacentral:rRNA from 1 species